UUCCGUGAACAUCUAUCUGAUUAAAUUAUGGGUGGAAAGUUACCACAAGAUAUUCUAUGAACAUAGUACAAUGUCUUCCUGGAGGGGUAAAAUUUUCCAUUACAAGAUUUUAAGAGAGGCCAUUUAUUGUACUGUUCAAUUUGCGUUCAUUUUCAAAUUUGCCGCGCGAGUAUCUAUGUAGCGUCUCGUGGUCAUUGGUCAUCACAUUUCAUUUUCAUAACAUAACCGAUAACCUAAAAAUUUAGUAAAGUAAAAAUUUUGAUUGGAAAAAAGUGCAUCGAUAAGGGGGUGUGGGAAAUGGAAAUUAGUGGCUUUUUUGCUGUACUGUCUGCUAGUUUUUGCUCUGGGCUCUGGCUAGAUCUCUUGUUUAAACAAUUUUAAUCAGCUGAAAGUGGCCUACAAAAAAAAACCAAGAAGGAAAUGUAUAGCCUUGUGGCUAUGAAAGGCAAAAGAGAGAUAUAAAAAGUGUAUUGGCUAGUUGGAAGAAAGUCCACAUUGUCCAUGCAUAAUAAGUUAUUACUUUAUCAACAAAUAUCAAGAAGAUAGCAGGGUCACGAGCAUCAACUUCAUAAGUUCAAGAAUAUCGAGGAAAUCCAGCUCCUCGAUACUACUGGGCAAACUAGAAGAUUGAAGAGGACAAAUCCUUUUGAACUAGUUUGAGUGAUAGGUGAUAGUGAAAAACGGAGCAUAGUGCUUGUGUGCUGUGCCUGUGUAUGUUAGAAUAAUAGUGCACGAUCUUGUUAGAUUAGAUAAGAGACGCUAUGGGGUAAGCUCUUCAUUUUAAGAAACAGUAGUAAUUUAGGUUAAAUUAAAAUUGCUCAUUGGUCAGUUAUGACCAGAUUGUUUUUUUAUGUUUGGCAAAAAGGACUUAAGUCAGAAUUGCACAUUGAUAAUGUUUUGAUGAUUUCUGGACCAGAAAAAAACUGUUGUAGAUGUAAACUGUAUGUACAGUAGAAUGUACAGUACUGUAGAAAUCAUCAAAACAUUAUCGAUGUGAAAUUCUGACUUAAGCCCUUUUUCCCAAACAUCAGAGAAUUGUAAUGUACAAUAAUUCUCCUAUCUGCUUUUUCAUGAAUUUUGUAGGAGACGAAAAACCAUUUUUAGGAUCAUCUGCUUUCACAUGUAAAUUUUGACAUGUUUUGUAGUAAAUAGAUAGUUGAAUUUACUACAAAACAUGUCAAAAAAUAUAUGAAAACAGGAGGUGACUAUAAAAAAAGUUUUUAGUCUCUCUUACAAAACUCAUGAAAAAACAAAUUGGAGGUAUGUCACAUCAGUGACUAAGAAUGUCUAAAAAAUAUACUUUGAUGUCCCAAGAACCAAAUAUAACCUACAGUCCAUCUAAUUUACUUACUGUUCCACGUCAUUAUCUACGCCAGAGAUCUAAGUUGACAUAGUUGCCAAAGUAUAAAAAGAUCCUGAAUCCAUUUUAAAUCAAAUAUGUCACAUAAUUAUUGUAAACGUGGAUUAUACAACAAAACAAAUUAAUAUUCAAUGUAAAUAAGUAAAAACUUAAGAAAUAGAGAACAAGAAUUAAGUUAUAAUCUUUUAAGAUUUGCAGUGCAAGAGUUUUUGCACUGCAUUGUUAAUAAUUAAAAAACGGCUCCGAACUCUUGGCAAAAAGCCGGUAGGUUUCUUUGUAUAAGUAUGUCUACAAUAACAACUAAAAAAGUUGUCAAAUACCUCGAUUAUUCCAAGUCGUUAUAAAAUUAGGUGAAAUUUAUAUUUUUAUAGUAGAGGAUCUUUUUAUAGUAAAGUAAAUAAUAAAAACAGUAAAUAUAAUAAAUAAAACAGAUACUUAUAGUAAAGAAUAUAAACAAAUAUGAAGUGUCAUCACCGUAACUGUCAAAUAAAUGUUACCAAUUUAUUCUAAAAUGUCACCUUCGUUCGAUUACAGUUACAGUGUGAUCCGAACAAAUCUGCUUCAUAAAAACGCUUUAUAAUCCAUUUAUACAAAUUAAAUGAAACAUAUUAUUGUGUAUUUCUUUAGGUUAACAUUAAUAGAAAUCUUCAAAUAUUAUUUCUACGCGUAUAUAAUAAAAUAUGUCUAGUGGUUGUAAUUCCAGUGUACUCGGCAAAGUGAUUCUAAAAAAGAACACACCUACCGCCUAAAUAUUUCGUGUUGGUAUCAUGCGACCUCACAGGCUACGACGUGGAUGACGCGCAACAGUUAGUAAAUUAGACGAAGUAUGUAGAUAUAUACAGGGUGUAACAAAAAUACAGGUCAUAAAUUUAAUCACAUAUUCUGGGACCAAAAAUAGUUUGAUUGGACCUAACUUACCUUAGUACAAAUGUGCACACAAGAAAAGUUACAGCCCUUUGAAGUUAUAUAUAUAUAAUAGCACCAAGGGUCUUAGAGGCCCAUGGCUUGAAAAGUUUGUUUUUUUUCUUCAUUUUCACGUUUCUUUAUGUACUGAGAUCUUCUCUGGCUUGAUAUGUGAUUUUUCUGCAUUCCUUCCUGUUAUUCAUUUUUCUUUUCUGACCCUGUAGCACCAUUCUUUCCAAAUCUUUUUCGACCUCUUGCUUCCAUCUAUUUUUCGGCCUUCCUCUUCUCUUUCUUGAAGCUGUAGUGUAGUUUAGUACCAUUUUUGGAGUCCUCGUGUUUGGCAUCCUUUCAAUGUGACCUCGCCAUCUAAGUCUCUGUGCCUUUAUCACUCAUUUGAAGUUACAAGAUGAAGUGAUUUUUUCCAAUAUAUCGAAAACUAUUAGAGAUUUUUUAUUGAAAAUGGACAUGUGGCAUUAUUAUGGCAGCAGUAUCUUACGAAAAAACUAUAGUAAAAUUUGGACACCCCAUAAAAAUUUUAUGGGGGUUUUGUUCCUUUAAACCCCCCCAAACUUUUGUGCACGUUUCAAUUUAAUUAUUAUUGUAGUACCAUUUAAACACAACGUUUUAAAAACUUUUUUGCCUCUUAUUGUUUUUUCGAAAAGUCAAUUUUUAUCGAAAUAUUUUGAAUAUUUGUCAAAUCCACCACAUAUUUGUAUAUGGUUAAGUACGAUUAUGGAGACUUGGUAAUAAUAUGCAGACUUAUUUAUGCUUUACAUUUUUAGGGAUAUUUUGAACCAUAUUAAAAAAGAAGCCAGAUCUCGAUAAAAUGUGCCUUAUCGAAAAAAUACAGAGGCAAAAAAGUUUUAAAAACAUUCUGUUUAACUAAUGGUACCUCAGUAAUAGUUUAAUUGGAACGUACACAAACAUUUGGGGGGUUUAAAGGAACAAAACCCCCAUAAAAUUUUUAUGUAGACAUGUUAAAAAAGAAGUCACAACUCGAUAAAAACUGCCUUAUCUGAAAAAUACUAAGAAACAAAAAUAUUGAAUUUAACUAAUGGUACCACAAUAAUAAAAUUGAAUUGGAACAUACACAAAAGUUUGGGAGGAUCUAAGGGAUCAAAACCCCCAUAAAAUUUUUAUGGGGUGCACAAAUUUCACCAUAAUUUUUCUUUAAGAUAUUCCUGACAUAAUACUGCCACAUGUCCAUUUUCAAUAAAAAAUCGCUAAUAGUUUUCGAUAUAAUCGAAAAAAUCGAUUUUCAUUUUGUAAUUUCAAAGGGCUGUAACUUUUUUUAUGUGCAUAUUUGUACUAAGGUAAGUUAGGUUCAUUCAAACUAUUUUUGGUCCCAGAAUAUGUGAUUUAAUUUAUGACGUGUAUUUUUGUUACACCCUGUAUAUACAGCCGAUUACGCACCACCUUAAAAAUUGGGCAUUUUUGAUGUCUCGAAUUUCCUAAACCUGUUGUUGCAUCUAAGUGAUUUUUUUAUAAUAUUCUAGCCUAGGCCCUAGGCUAUAGUUUAAGUACCUCCUUAUGCUUGUCAUGCACAGGGAGCUAUACUGUUAUAUAUAUUAUAUCACAUCGCACUCUAUAGUAAUGAGUGAGCCUGCACAUAUGGAACCAUUUGUUUUCUGUCUGCAGGCUCACUCAUUACUAUAGAGAGCGAUAUGAUAUAAUGUACAUAUAUUACAGCAUAGCUCCCUGUGCAUGACAAGCUUAAGGAGGUAACCUAUAGCCUAGGCUAUAAUAUUAUAAAAAAAUCACUUAGAUGAAACAACAGGUUUAGGAAAUAUGAGACAUCAAAAAUACCCCAUAUUUAAGGUGGUGCGUUAAUUUCUUGGAGAAGUGUAUUGUAAUUUAAUGUAAAUAAUGUAAUAUCCAAUAAUUGUAAUUUAAUAUAAGAUGUAAUAUAAGUUCCUUAAAAAAUA
rnacentral:lncRNA from 1 species